rnacentral:rRNA from 1 species
GACGAACCGUCCUAACGUUGUUCGGAAUCACUGGGCUUAAAGGGCGCGUAGGCGGGCGAUCAAGUCAGGGGUGAAAUCUUUCGGCUUAACCGGAAAAUGGCCCCUGAUACUGAUUGUCUUGUGGGAGGUAGGGGUAUGUGGAACUUCUGGUGGAGCGGUGAAAUGCGUUGAUAUCAGAAGGAACGCCGGUGGCGAAAGCGACGUACUGGACCUCUUCUGACGCUGAGGCGCGAAAGCUAGGGUAGCGAACGGG